rnacentral:rRNA from 2 species
CCGCGUGAGUGAAGAAGGUUUUCGGAUCGUAAAACUCUGUUGUAAGGGAAGAACACAUACGAGAGUAACUGCUCGUAUCUUGACGGUACCUUAUUAGAAAGCCACGGCUAACUACGUGCCAGCAGCCGCGGUAAUACGUAGGUGGCAAGCGUUGUCCGGAAUUAUUGGGCGUAAAGCGCGCGCAGGCGGUUCUUUAAGUCUGAUGUGAAAGCCCACGGCUCAACCGUGGAGGGUCAUUGGAAACUGGAGAACUUGAGUACAGAAGAGGAAAGCGGAAUUCCACGUGUAGCGGUGAAAUGCGUAGAGAUGUGGAGGAACACCAGUGGCGAAGGCGGCUUUCUGGUCUGUAACUGACGCUGAGGCGCGAAAGCGUGGGGAGCAAACAGGAUUAGAU